GACGAACGCUGGCGGCGUGCUUAACACAUGCAAGUCGAGCGGUAAGGCCCUUUCGGGGGUACGACGAGCGGCGAGCGGGUGAGUAACACGUGGGUGACCUGCCCUCAGCUCUGGGAUAAGCCUGGGAAACCGGGUCUAAUACCGGAUAUGACUCCAUGACGCAUGUUGUGGGGUGGAAAGCCUUGUGCGGCUGAGGAUGGGCCCGCGGCCUAUCAGCUUGUUGGUGGGGUGAGGCCUACCAAGGCGACGACGGGUAGCCGGCCUGAGAGGGCGACCGGCCACACUGGGACUGAGACACGGCCCAGACUCCUACGGGAGGCAGCAGUGGGGAAUCUUGCGCAAUGGGCGAAAGCCUGACGCAGCGACGCCGCGUGAGGGAUGACGGCCUC
rnacentral:rRNA from 1 species